UACGGAGGGUGCAAGCGUUAUCCGGAUUUACUGGGUUUAAAGGGUGCGUAGGCGGAUUUGUAAGUCCGAGGUGAAAUCUCCGAGCUUAACUCGGAAGCUGCCUUGGAUACUAUAAGUCUUGACUGACGUUGAGGUUAGCGGAAUAUGUCAUGUAGCGGUGAAAUGCGUAGAUAUGACAUAGAACAGCUAUUGCGAAGGCAGCUAACUAAGCGUAUAUUGACGCUGAUGCGCGAAAGUGUGGGGAUCAAACAGG
rnacentral:rRNA from 1 species